rnacentral:rRNA from 1 species
AAUCAACGCUGGCGGCGUGCCUAACACAUGCAAGUCGAACGCGAAAGCCCCUUCGGGGGUAAGUAGAGUGGCGUCCGGGUGAGUAACACGUAGGUAAUCUACCUUCGGGUGGGGAAUAACUCGCCGAAAGGCGAGCUAAUACCGCAUAAUGCAGCGGCACCUAAUGGUGAUUAGUUGUUAAAGCGGGGGAUCGUAAGACCUCGCGCCUGAAGAGGAGCCUGCGGCAGAUUAGCUAGUGGUGAGGUAAUGGCUCACCAAGGCUUCGAUCUGUAGCUGGUCUGAGAGGACGGCCAGCCACACUGGCACUGACACACGGGCCAGACUCCUACGGGAGGCAGCAGUGGGGAAUUUUCCGCAAUGGGCGAAAGCCUGACGGAGUGACGCCGC